UGAUUACGAGGGUCGGAAAGAUAAGGCUGAGCGCUUUAUCUUGCGCACUCAUCUCCGCGUAUCCUGCGCACUCUUCGCCGGGUUCGGACCUCAGACCUCACACACACACUGAUUUCAAGCGCACACAGAGCACUUGCUCUAUCUCUGAUUUCAGGAGGCUCACUAGAGGACUUAGCGAGAGAGAGGAAAGAAAGAAUGGAAGCUAAGGCAGUGUUUGGCGGAAGUCCAUGUCUUUCAUCAUCUCUUCCGCGCUUACCAGCUCAUAGAAUUUGCAGCUUAUCCUACACUCACAAGCCUAUGCUACGCACCAUCCACCACGACCACCACUUAGCUGCAUUCCACUCAAAAUCCCAUCUUUUCUCAUAUUCCCCAUCUAGUCCCCAUACCAAAACCACCCUCUCCCGUAAAACCCGUAUCUUCCUUCCCCACUUGGUUGCUUCAAUGGAAGAAGUUGAAGAGACUUAUAUAAUGGUGAAACCAGACGGUGUUCAACGGGGACUUGUUGGAGAGAUUAUUUCAAGGUUUGAGAAGAAGGGAUUUAAACUGACUGGCUUGAAGCUCUUCCAAUGUCCAAAAGAAUUGGCAGAGGAGCAUUAUAAGGAUCUCAAGGCAAAGUCUUUCUUCCCUAAGCUGAUUGAGUACAUCACUUCAGGUCCAGUUGUGUGCAUGGCUUGGGAGGGUGUUGGUGUUGUUUCGUCGGCACGUAAGCUUAUAGGGUCUACAGAUCCUCUUCAAGCUGACCCUGGCACAAUAAGAGGGGACCUUGCUGUUCAAACAGGAAGGAAUGUGAUUCAUGGGAGUGACAGCCCUGAGAAUGGCAAGCGUGAAAUAGCUCUCUGGUUCAAAGAAGAUGAACCAUGUCGGUGGACACCAGCUCAAGCACCAUGGCUAAGGGAGUGAUCUUUCGCCCAGUUCUUUGACCCGCGCAAUUUUGAAGAAACUCUCUGAGCACAUUGGAUUUGUUGCAGACAGGAAAAAGGUUGGCGUUUGGAUUCUAGGGUAAGCAAUGCGUGCCACCUGAAGAAAGCCUUUUAGUGAUUUAUCUCAAUAACAUCAUAAAUAGGAUUGAUGUGGAUAUUGGAUCAUCCUCUGUAGCAAGGAGUUUCAUUGCCCUUGUUCCUGGAUAUGUGUCAAGCAUGGUUGUUGAUCAUGCGUAGGAUAGGCUUGUGAGUGUAGGAUAAGCUGCCGUGCAAGUUCUCUGAGCUGGAAAGCGUGGAAGAGAUGAUGAAAGAUGGACUUCCGCCAAAUCACUAGCAAUUCAGUGCGCCGGCAUUUGAUUUCUUUUCCUUUUCCCUUUUUGAUUAUUGUAAGAGUGGGCUAUGGGUGGGCACAUGAGCCCACGAAUCCCACCAAGAGUAGCAGAUCUUCAAUUUUCUCAAUUUUUUUUUUUAUUCUGUAGCCACUCAUGAUUUUUUUAUGUGCAUGGCAGCAUAGGACCCAAAAAUAAAAAAUAAAAAAAUU